GUCUAUGGCCAUGCCACCCUGAACAAGCCCGAUCCGAUCUGAUCUCCGAAGCUAAGCAGGUUUGGGCCUGGUUAGUACUUGGAUGGGAGACCACCUAGAAAGACUAGGUGCUGUAGGCA
rnacentral:rRNA from 1 species